rnacentral:rRNA from 1 species
UACGGAGGGUGCGAGCGUUGUCCGGAAUCAUUGGGCGUAAAGGGCGCGUAGGUGGCCCGGUCAGUCUUUGGUGAAAGCGCGGGGCUCAACCCUGCGUCGGCCAGGGAUACUGCCGCGGCUCGAGCACUGUAGAGGCAGGCGGAAUUCGGGUGUAGCGGUGGAAUGCGUAGAGAUCCGGAAGAACACCGGUGGCGAAGGCGGCCGCUGGGCAGUUUAGCUGACACUGAGGCGCGACAGCGGUGGGGAGCAAACAGG